GCCUAGGUGGCGAAAUCGGCAGACGCAAGGGACUUAAAAUCCCUUGGUGGAAACACCGUAUGGGUUCAAGUCCCAACCUAGGCACCA
rnacentral:tRNA from 1 species